CAAUGAUGAGACUGCCUACUGCUGG
rnacentral:piRNA from 1 species